rnacentral:rRNA from 1 species
UACGGGGGGGGCAAGCGUUGUUCGGAAUUACUGGGCGUAAAGGGCUCGUAGGCGGCCAACUAAGUCGGAUGUGAAAUCCCCAGGCUCAACCUGGGAACUGCAUCCGAUACUGGAUGGCUUGAAUUCGGGAGAGGGAUGCAGAAUUCCAGGUGUAGCGGUGAAAUGCGUAGAUAUCUGGAGGAAUACCGGUGGCGAAGGCGGCAUCCUGAACCGACAUUGACGCUGAUGAGCGAAAGCUAGGGGAGCAAACGGG